GAUGAAGAACGCAGCGAAAUGCGAUAAGUAGUGUGAAUUGCAGAAUUCAGUGAAUCAUCGAAUCUUUGAACGCACAUUGCGCCCCUUGGUAUUCCAUGGGGCAUGCCUGUUCGAGCGUCAUUUGUACCUUCAAGCUUUGCUUGGUGUUGGGUGUUUGUCUCGCCUUUGCGUGUAGACUCGCCUUAAAAUAAUUGGCAGCCGGCGUAUUGAUUUCGGAGCGCAGUACAUCUCGCGCUUUGCACUCAUAACGACAGCGUCCAAAAGUACAUUUUACACUCUUGACCUCGGAUCAGGUAGGGAUACCCGCUGAACCUAAGCAUAUCAAUAAGCGGAGGA
rnacentral:misc_RNA from 1 species